AUUAAAUUAUCAUAAUUUAUUUUUUUUAAUUUAAUAAUUGCCAAUUGAAAAUAGUUAUUAACUUUUUAUUAUUAAAAAUGUUUUUGCACAAUUUUAUUUUUCAGCCAUUGUAUAAAAGUUUAUGAAUAUUGAAUUACUGAAUGCAUUGUACAUAUAAUCAAAAAAUUUUAAUUUAUUGCACAGAAGCUGACAGUGUAAACAGUUAAUAUUUGCAAAUCUCAGGAUAAAACAAAAAAUAUGUAUUAUUUUUUCCCCCUCCUGCAUUUUUAUUAUACAAUUUGUAAUGCUAUGUACAUAAUAUAUAUAUAUUUGUGUAAAGAAACUGGGGAAAAGGGGAAAAAAUGGCUAAACCAGUCACGAGUGCCUAAGCAUUUAAAUCAAGAUGAAUCCUAUUUAAGUAUUUGGGACAAUCAUAGUAUUUCAUGCCAGCAGUGGAUGCAGAUUAGAAAUUUUGUGCAGUUUUAGAAGAAAUAUUAAUGACAAUUUGAAAGCUGAAUUAAUUUACAAAAUGCAUUUAGUAUUGAUCAUAAUACUUAAUUUAAAUAAUCAGAAUGUAAAUUGUAUUUAGUGUGUUUAAAUAUUUUAUUCAUCCUAAUAAAGUCAAGCCAGUAUAAGAAACCAAUUUAAUAAUAAAAGAAAAUUUUAUUAAAAAAAAAUAAAUCUCAUUUUUAUUCCUUUAUGGAUUCUAUUUUGGAUCCGUAUCUUGAAUGAUAAGGCCAGAACAGUUACAUAGACUAACAUAUUAUUUUUAUUUCAAUGACAGAUUAUUCUAUUAGUAAUUAGUUUAAGGAAUAGCAAUAGUAAUACAAUAUAUUAAUUUUAAAAUAAGAAAUUGAAAUCAUAUUUUUUGAUCUUCCAUGUAUAUCUUAUGUAUCAGUAGUAAUGAGAUUUGAUGAGAAAUAUUUUCUUCCACUUAAGUAGUUAACAGAAUUAUAUAAAUAUACCACUAUAAUAGUUUUGUGUUCAUAUACAAUAAAAAUAUUGGUAUAUCGGCUAAUAUAUUAUUUGUAUAAUAGUAUUUGUGAUCAAAAUAUGUAUUUUGUAAGCGGAUUCUAAUAAAGAUAUAUUAUUAAAACGAAAAUUUACGUAAAGGACUAUAAUAAGCCAUUCUCAAAAAAAGUGUUGAAAUUCUGUUGUAAGCAUAAAGUUAAACAUAUAAAAAUUUUCAUAUUUUAAAAAAAUAUUGAAAUCUUGAAUAUUGAUUUUUUUUUUUUUUUUUAACUUUUGAGCAAUUAGCAACUUGUGAAAGAUUUUAUCUUGCAACACAGAAAUGUAAUCCUCA
rnacentral:lncRNA from 1 species